AUUGAACGCUGGCGGCCGGCCUAACACAUGCAAGUCGAACGAGUGGCGGACGGGUGAGUAAUGUCUGGGAAACUGCCUGAUGGAGGGGGAUAACUACUGGAAACGGUAGCUAAUACCGCAUACCAUCGGAUGUGCGCAGAUGGGAUUAGCUAGUAGGUGGGGUAAAGGCUAACCUAGGCGACGAUCCAUAGCUGGUCUGAGAGGAUGACCAGCCACCCUGGAACUGAGACACGGUCCAGACUCCUCCGUGGGGCAGCAGUUGGGAAUAUUGCACAAUGGGCGCAAGCCGGAUGCAGCCAUGCCGCGUGUAUGAAGAAGGCCUUCGGGUUGUAAAGUACUGUCAGCGGGGAGGCGUUACCCGCAGAAGAAGCACCGGCUAACUCCGUGCCAGCAGCCGCGGUAAUAC
rnacentral:rRNA from 1 species